CCAGUCGUGGGGGUAAAUCUGUGAAUCCUCACCGUCAACAGCGUAAUCCGCUGGAUCUGAGUAGAUUAUUAUUGCUAUAGCUCCAUGAAGGAUAGGAAAGCAGUACAUCAUAUGGUGUGAUGAAAGCUUCAUCAAGACCCACCGAUUUCCAGAAGUCAUGAAGCUCCUUAGCCUGUUUAUAAUCUGCAUCUGUUCCAGCGAGAUGAGGGUAUUCAGAGAGUUCUCUAUUUAAAAAAGUGCACAAUAUUUGACAACUAUUAGAAAUUCGUCAAUUUUGUCCACGUUUCCACAUCGUCAAAGUUUCAACUUUUACAGUAUCAUAAAGGUCUAUGUUAUCUUUGUCUGAUCUCUGAAAUAUAUCUAUAAAUGACA